ensembl:lncRNA
GUUUUGUAAGAGUAUUUGGAGGACCGCCUGGACGUGGUGGAUGUGGUCCUCCAUGGAUCUGGAAAACACUAGGAUGUCGUCCAGGUAUACAAAGACAAACUUGUCAAGCAUGUCCCGUAGGACGUCGUUGACCAUGGACUGGAAGACGGCUGGGGCGUUGGUGAGGCCAAAGGGCAUGACCAGAUACUCGUAGUGGCCGGUGGGCGUAUUGAAAGCUGUCUUCCACUCGUCCCCCUCUCGGAUGCGGACCAGGUGAUACGCGUUUCGAAGGUCCAGUUUGGUGAAAACAGUGGCCCCCUCCAGGAGUUCAAACACUGAGGAGAUGAGGGGGAGCGGGUAUCGGUUCUUUACCGUGAUGUCAUUGAGGCCCCGAUAGUCUAUGCAGGGUCUCAACGUUUUGUCCUUCUUCUGGACAAAAAAGAACCCAGCCCCAGCCGGGGACGAGGAGGGACGGAUGAUGCCGGCGGACAGAGAGUCGUUGAUGUAAUCCUCCAUUGCCUUUCUCUCUGGGGCCGAGAUGGAGUAGAGGCGGCCCCGGGGAGGGCUAGUGCCAGGGAGGAGGUCAAUGGCACAGUCAUACGGCCGGUGCGGAGGCAGGGAGGUAGCCUUUGACUUGCUGAAGACCUCUUUGAAAUCGUGGUAUUCAGCCGGGACGCCCGCCAGGUCCGGGGCUGAAGUGGGGCAGGAUGGGGGCUGGGGGACGAGGGCUUGUUUCAGGCAGACUUGAUGACAGGCUGUGCUCCACCCCAGGAUGGACCCUGUCGCCCAGUCGAUGUGUGGGUUAUGACGGUGAAGCCAGGGGAACCCCAGGAGGAGCGGGAUCCGAGUUGAGUCCAGGAUGUGAAAAGAAAUCGACUCAUGGUGGUUCCCGGAGAGCAGCAUCUGGACAGGGACAGUCUGGUGGGUCACCAUUCCGAGGGCGUGACCAUCCAGGGCAUUGGCGGGCACGGGCUGAGGCACUCUCUCAAUCCCCAACUGCCAGGCUAACUCGCUGUUGAUAAUGGAUACGUCGGCCCCUGAGUCAAUGAACACCGCCAGGGUGUGGGAACCCCCUGGCACCAGCAGGCGGCAGCGGCAGAUUGGUCUCUUGAUGGGGGACAGUUUGGAAGGAGGGCUCACCGGUGCGUCCCCAAUCACUGGUGAGCCUUGGCUUUUCCCGGGCACUUGGAGACAAAGUGUCCCUCUCCCCCACAG